UACGUAGGGUGCGAGCGUUAUUCGGAAUUACUGGGCGUAAAGCGCACGUAGGCCGCUUUGUAAGUCAGGGGUGAAAUCCCACGGCUCAACCGUGGAACUGCCCUUGAAACUGCAGAGCUUGAAUCCUGGAGAGGGUGGCGGAAUUCCUGGUGUAGGAGUGAAAUCCGUAGAUAUCAGGAGGAACACCGGUGGCGAAGGCGGCCACCUGGACAGGCAUUGACGCUGAGGUGCGAAAGCAUGGGGAGCAAACAGG
rnacentral:rRNA from 1 species